rnacentral:rRNA from 1 species
AUUGAACGCUGGCGGCAGGCCUAACACAUGCGAGUCGAGCGGAAACGACACUAACAAUCCUUCGGAUGCGUUAAUGGGCGUCGAGCGGCGGACGGGUGAGUAAUGCCUAGGAAACUGCCUUGAUGUGGGGGAUAACCAUUGGAAACGAUGGCUAAUACCGCAUAAUGCCUACGGGCCAAAGAGGGGGACCUUCGGGCCUCUCGCGUCAAGAUAUGCCUAGGUGGGAUUAGCUAGUUGGUGAGGUAAUGGCUCACCAAGGCGACGAUCCCUAGCUGGUCUGAGAGGAUGAUCAGCCACACUGGAACUGAGACACGGUCCAGACUCCUACGGGAGGCAGCAGUGGGGAAUAUUGCACAAUGGGCGAAAGCCUGAUGCAGCCAUGCCGCGUGUAUGAAGAAGGCCUUCGGGUUGUAAAGUACUUUCAGUUGUGAGGAAGGGGGUAGCGUUAAUAGCGCUAUCUCUUGACGUUAGCAACAGAAGAAGCACCGGCUAACUCCGUGCCAGCAGCCGCGGUAAUACGGAGGGUGCGAGCGUUAAUCGGAAUUACUGGGCGUAAAGCGCAUGCAGGUGGUUUAUUAAGUCAGAUGUGAAAGCCCGGGGCUCAACCUCGGAACUGCAUUUGAAACUGGUGAACUAGAGUACUGUAGAGGGGGGUAGAAUUUCA